CGGGAGCGGCUGGGCCCCCGGCGGCGCGGUCCUCGGUCUGGCCGGGAGUCGCGCCAGUCGGAACGCCCAGGCGAGCGCCGCCAGCCUCCCUCUCAGCGUCCCUCCUUGCGGAGUGCAACCAGCGGGCAUGAGCGAUCCACCAGAGGCUCCGCCACCGGCUCCGGUAGGCCGCGGGUAAAGAAGAAAGGCCGUCCUCGCUCGACCCGGAGCGAGAAGGGGACCCGGCGCAAAGAGACGACCCAGGCCGACGAGGCGGCCAAGGGCAAGCAGGCAACCAGGGCCAAGCAGGCGUCCCGGAGCAAGGACAAG
rnacentral:other from 1 species